UAUUUUCUCUCCUAUUUAAAAAUACCUUCCACUUCCAGUUGUGGACCAGAUAUUCUUGAAUACUCUUGCAAAUUGUGUAUUAUUAUUACUUUUAUUAUCAGCUAACAAUUUGGCACUCAAUAUAUUCCGUUUUUGAAUAAAAGGUUUGUUUUCCAAGUUGAGUGAUGGAAACUAGUGCAAAAUCCAAUAGUACUACUGGAAGAGAGCAUUCCAGCUAUUGCUCAACCACUUUCUGAAGAACCUACUGAGAUUACAUCUAACAUCAAGUAUCAUGCUCAUUUUAGUCCUCAUUUCUCUCCUUUCAAGUUUAAGCCUGAACUAUUCUACUGCUGACAGUGUUCGUGAUCGCUUGAUCAAAGUUCUGAGGCUCAGUCUAGGGGUCCGGAAAAGCAAUAGAUUUUAUCAGACAGAGUUGCAGUGCCCAGUUGGUGAGCCUUCUUUAUUCCAGAAGGCCUGUUUACUUUCAGACAACUAUUAUUAGAUAUGGUUUUGGUCUACUGGGGGCCUUACUGUCAGAUUUUCAUGUAGUACAGAUUUCGCAGAUUGAGUCAGAUGUUAUUUAGAUGUAGUUGAUUUACAGUUUCCAUACUUAUGAUGAAUUCAGAAUU